UGAGCCUGUGCACUGCUGCAGCGGGACGGGCCCUGUCUCCUUCAUCUCAGAGGUCCCAGCACCCCGCACCCAGCUGGGCAUGAGCUCCACUACCGCACCACUCCUGAAUGAAUGCGUAUUUGCAAGGCUGAGAAGACAUGUGAAGGAAGAAAAAAAGCAAGCAAGAAAGGCCAAAAGGAGGAAGGUUAUAGCCUGAUCUUCACAGCGUCCUGUCCAGGACUGAGGUGAAACUGUCCAGGAAGAGCUGUGUCCCUUCCCCUGCAAUCAGAGUGAAAGGAAGGAGCAGUGACAGCCACUGGUCAUGAACAGCAGCUGCGGGCACUUGAGACAUCAGUGUGGAGGCCAGACAAGGAGGCCAGUGUGCAGGAUGCCCGGGGACG
rnacentral:lncRNA from 1 species